UGUGAAAGUGCAACUAAUCCCCGGGUGGUUUUGGUAAUUAAUAACAACAUAUAUAUCAUUGAACUAAUAGUUACUUGAGAAUCAUUUCAGAGAGUUCAGUGAUAUGGGUAUGGCAAGGACUGAAGAAGUGGACCCCUCAAAAUGCUAAGGCAAGCAUUGGCAAAAGCUCAAGACUCCAUUUUUGGUUUAGUGAUCCAAGAUCACAUUGAGUCCAUAGGAAAAGCCAAUACUAUUAAAAGGGGAUGAGGUUAUGAUGAUGAUCUGGUUGCUCAAGUGCUUAGUGAUACAUCUCCUAAACUAUCAGCAACUUUCACUGCCAUAUACACUCAUAAGUAGUCUCGGUCCCACCGAUAUUCCAAACUCAGUCACACCGAGAUGAACCACCUCAGCCAUAAGCCAAACCCUAGCAAACUCGGAUUUUCCGAUUCUGAACUCGGUCUCACCGAAACUUGAGUUGCCAAGCUUCUGUAACCUUCUGUCAUCAAAUCGGUGUCACCGAGAUGAUCAAGUCGGUCCCACCGAAAUUGGCAUGCUCUUGUCAUUGCACGAAUCGGACUAACCGAGAUAGUAUAUUCGGUCCCACCGAAAAUCCCAACGUUCACAUUAUUUGAACUAUCGGUCUCACCGAGUUGUCCACUUCGGUCUCACCGAGAUUGCUCAAAUGUGUGUAACGGUUGGAUUUUGUGUGGAGGCUAUUUAUACCCCUCCACCCCCUCUUCAUUCGUGGAGAGAGCCAUCAGAAAGAACUACCACUCCUACCUUAUAUUUCUGAGAAGAGAACUACCUACCCUUGUGUUGAGAUCAAGUUGCUCCACUCCCACCAUAUGAAGCUUGAUCUCUAGCCUUCCCAAGUUGCUUUCCACUCAAUCCUUUCUUCCACCACAGCCAAAUCAGUGAGGAGAGUUGAGUGUUGGGGAGAUUAUCAUUUGAAGCACAAGAGCAAGGAGUUCAUCAUCAUCUACAACAUCUAUUACCUUUUGGAGGGUGGUGCCUCCUAGAUUGGUUAGGUGUCGCUUGGGAGCCUCCGUCAUCGAGAUGUGGAGUUGAACCAAGAAGUUUGUAAGGGCAAGGAGAUCGCCUACUUCGUGAAGAUCUACCCCGAGUAAGGCUAGCCCUCCGUGGGCGUAGGCCAUGAUGGAAUAGACAAGGUUGCUUCUUCGUGGACCCUUCGUGGGUGGAGCCCUCCGUGGACUCUCGCAGCCGUUACCCUCCGUGGGUUGAAGUCUCCAUCAACGUGGAAGUACGAUAGCACCACCUAUCGGAACCACGAGAAAAAUCACCGCGUCUCCAAAAUUGCGUUUGCUCUUCUCCACCUCUCUUUACUACAUGUGCAAUUUACUUUCCGCUGCCUAUACUCUAGAAUUGCAUGUGUAGGGUGAUGCUUGACUUGAUCAUAAUUGUGAAUCUGCCAAAAACUGUUCUUUGUCAAAAGGCAGAAUUUUUAUAUUGACAAGUAGUCUAAUCACCCCCCUCUAGACAUACUUUCGAUCCUACAAGUGGUAUCAGAGCUUUGGUCUCCAUUGUAUUGGCUUCCAUUGCAUUGGACUCCAUAAGCUUGGUUUCACAACCUAGGAGAGUAUGGCGUCUAGUGAGGGUAAUUUUCGUAGAGGUCCUUACUUUGAUGGUACAAAUUUUGCUAGUUGGAAGCAUAAAAUGAAAAUGCAUAUUCUUGGUCAUAACCCAGCCGCAUGGGGCAUUAUUUGUGUUGGUAUGCAAGGUGAAUUCUUCGAGGAAGGAAAAGUUCCGGAUCGCGAAGCUACAACGGAAGAAUUGCGGAUGUUGCAAAACAAUGCUCAAGCUUGUGACAUUCUCUUCAAUGCCUUGUGUCCCGAGGAGUUCAACAAAAUCAGCCGUCUUGAGAAUGCAAAAGAGAUUUGGGAUACUUUGGUUGAAAUGCACGAGGGUACCGAGUCCGUGAAGGAAUCAAAGCUAGAUAUUCUUCAAGGUCAACUUGACAAGUUCAAGAUGAAGGAUGGUGAAGGAGUCGCUGAAAUGUACUCUAGGCUUGCUCUCAUCACAAAUGAGAUUGCCGGCUUAGGAAGCGAAGAAAUGACCGACCGAUUCAUCAUCAAGAAGAUUCUCAGAGCUUUGGAUGGAAAGUAUGACACCGUGUGCACUUUGAUCCAAAUGAUGCCAAACUACAAGAAUCUCAAGCCAACCGAAGUCAUUGGAAGAAUUGUUGCUCAUGAGAUGACACUUAAGGAUAAGGAAGAGCUUCACAACAAGUCAAGUGGUGCUUACAAAGCUACAAGUGAUGCUCCCACAACCUCAAGUGACAAGUUAGUUUCCAAUGAAGAGAUAAGCCUAAUGGUCAAGAACUUCAACAAAUUCUACAAGAAUAGAGGCAAAGAGAGAAGCUCAAAGUCUAGAUCAUAUGAUGAAAAGAGAUCUUCUAGUCGUGAUCGAAACUGCUACAAUUGUGGAAGACCCGGACACUACUCAAAUGAGUGUACGGCUCCCCACAAGAGAAGAGAAGAAUCUCCAAGAAGAAGAAGCUCAAGAGAUGAGUCACCUCGGAAAGAGAGAAGGAGCAGAGAUGAUCGUUAUGAACGAAGACCCUCUCGGAGAAGCAAGGAUUCGGAGAGGAAAGACAAGUCAUCAAGGAGCUACACAAGAAGAAAACAUCAAGCUCAUGUAGGUGAAUGGGUUUCCGGCUCCGACUCCGACAAUCAAUCCAAAGGAGGCUAUCACUCCAACUCCGACUACAGUCAAGAUGAAGGUGUUGCCGGUCUUGCUCUCGUAUCCUCCAACUCCAACUCCUACGACUUAUUUGAUUCACCAAAUGAGGGAAUUGGAAGAUGCUUCAUGGCUAAAGGCCCCAAGGUAUCACACCCUGAAUUCAUUGACUUCAAUAGUGAUGAGGAUGACUUGCUUGGUGAAGAUGAACUCUUGCUUGAUAAAUCCAGUGAGCCUAGUAACGACGAACAUGCUAGUAAUGUUUAUAGUCGAGAAGAGUCGAAUGACAAUGCUAUGAAGGAGAUUGAGCAUCUAACUAAAGAACUAAACACUCUUAAGUUAGCUCAUGAAACAACUCAAGAAGAUCAUAGAGAGCUCCUAAGAUCUCAUGAGAAGCUACGCUUCGAGAAGCUCACUCUAGAGCAAGAACAUGAGUUUCUAGAAGCAAUCAAUGACGAUCUUCGAAAGAAGAGUUCUUCAUAUCUUGCCAAACGACUUCUCUUGUCUAAUUUCUUGCCACCCAUUAAGACUAAGCAUGACAAGCAUAAGAAAAAUUCUUCCUCUAGUAGUAACAAUAACCAUGCUAAAUCCAAUGUUGUUGCUUCUAGUAGUUCUCUUGAUUCCACUAAUAAUGUUUCAAGCCAAGUUACACUUGAGCAAGAAAAUAGUUUAUUGAAAGGGAUCAUAGAGAAAGGUGUCUACAAGAGCCUUGCCGGAAGCAAGAACUUUGAGGAAAUCAUUCGCAAGCAAGGAAGGCACCGGAAGAAUCAAGGAAUUGGUUUUGAGCGAAAGUUCAACGCCGAAGGUGUUGAGUGGGAAGAAGGUCAAUAUCCUACUCCACAGUUUGUUCCUCGAAAGGAGAAGUAUGAUCCUACUUCUUCCAAUGUGGAACAAGCUCAAGAUGACCUUCCACCACAAGACCACAAGCUAAAAGGCAAGGACAAGCUUCAAGAGGAGAUUGAUGCAUUUGUUGAAGCACCUCAAGCCAUGGUCAAGUGGGUUCCCAAGGAGACGUCAAGUUCUACUUCGUCAAGCUCAACUACAACCCCAAGGAUUCCCAUCAAGAUGAUGUGGAUCCCGAAGAAGAAGAACUAGAAAGUUCUUGAGGGUGACUCCGCCAACAUACUUCACUCACAUUCAUUUUGGCGAAAACUUGUGCAAUCAACUUCCACAUCGUGCACUAGUUCAUGGAGUCACAAACCCUCUUGUUGGUAAGUCAAGGGACAAGGUAAUCAUUGCUUUCAUGGACAUCAUCUAUUGUGAACUUCAAUCUAUGUCCAUGGAUAUCCUUGUUUGUUCCUUGUGGGACUAACCCAUGUAGGUAUUGAAAGUGCCCGAAUCCAAAGGAUAGCUCCCAACUCUUGAUGAUCUCCAUCAACAUUGAGCAUCCACAUCUUCAACAUCUACAUGAAGUCUUCUACGACAACCCAAGGUUAGUUUGACCCUUUAAAAGGGGUUCUCACAUCUAGGGGGAGCUUUGCUCUAAAAAAAUUGAGCUAAAGCAUCUUCAAAUGAUGUGAACACAUCAAUGCUUUAUGUAAAAGUGGUAACCCCACUUGUGCUUAAACGAUGAGUAUGACCUAUGAUCAAAUGUUCUCAUUUGGCUCCUAAGUCAAUAUACUCAUAUAAAGAUGACCUAGUCAUCGACAAAUUGUGUGUUAGUUGCUAGAGUUUUGGUUGUGCAUGUUUGACACAUAUUUCAUUUUCUAUCUUAUUGUGUGAGCAUGUUGGAUGCAUGAUUUUUUCCAUUCGAGGACAUCCAUUUGUUGUCUUGGUCGUUUUGAGUUUUCUGACCAAAUGGAUGGACAAGAAUGCCUAAGUACCUCCCCUAGCUAUCUAUGCUUUCUUGUCUCAAAUUCUAUUCAUGCUUACAUCACAAAUUUUGAACAAGUCUUUUUCGGACCCUCCGGGUGAGGAGCACUCGGAGCCACCGAUCCGUCAAGGGCUAAUUUCCAAAACCUUCUAAUUGAUUUCGGUCAAACCAACUCACUCAAACUCGGUCGAACCAAAAGCAUUUAGACUGAUCUAGGUUUUCACCUCGGUGAAACCGAGUUGUGAUUUUCGGCGUGACCGAAGUGCAUAACUGCCUAGCAGUUAUCCAUCUCGGUGCCACCGAGUUUUACAACUCGGUCCCACCAACAGCGAAGGGGUAUAUAUAUACCGAGGGCCGCGCGCGUUGAUUCCUCCUUCAAACGUUUCGCCCCCACACCCCUUGCUGCCGUCGCCUUGGUCUCCGGAUCGUCGCCGUCGUCGCCUGUGCGCCCUCGCCGCAGGUCUCCGACGCUGUCAACGGACAUCUCCUCCGAGCCGUUGCCGCCGUAGAAAAACUCCACCAAGUUAGGGUGAGUUUUGAUCCCACUCGUGCUCCCAUCUCCGAUUCAAUGCACAUUUGGUUUGCCUAGUAUCUUGCCACGAUUGAAAUCCUCCUGUACACCAGAUUAGUUCAUUUGAACUAGAUUCGAGUAAAAGUUUUAGGGUUAGGUUUCCGCGGAACACAUCUCGGUGAGACCGAUUUUACAUUUUCGGUAUGACCGAUUUGGCCUAUAGCCAUUGCACUGCACCCUUCGGUCCAACCGAGUUGUGCAAAAUCGGUGUGACCGAAAUGAGGAUUCUGUGAAACCCUAGUGUUUUCGGCAGGACCGAAACCCACUUCGGUCAAACCGAAAGUGGUGUGCCAAGCUCCUGUUUAACACUUCGGAUUCACCGAAUCUUAAACUCGGUCUGACCGAAAUGUCUUCUGUGAAAACUUAAUACUAGAAUUUGAACUCAUUUUUUUUUGCAAAAACUUCUGCAGUUUGUGAUGACUCUUCUUCUCUGCCUACACCUUAUCUAUUCACAGGUUGUCAGCCAUGUCAGAUGCCAGUGACAGUCAGAACAGGUCAGAGACACCCAUUGCAGACAUUCCAGAGGCAGGCACUAGUCCUGAUCCUAGUAGCUCAUCUGAUGAUGGUGAGAGGAGUACACCAAGUGGCAUGCCUCCUGCAGCCACCAGAGCUAGAAAGAAGAGGAAUUCAGAUGAUGAGGAUUCAGAUUUUGUUGUUGAGGAAUAAGUGACCUCAAAGCCCAAAAGGAAGGUUGUUGCCAAAGAGGAACAAGGUCAACAAACUAAGAAGGGCACCAGCAAAGUCAAGCAGUCAACUGUUGCUAAGAAGCUAAAUUUGGGAGAGGCAGCUGCAAGCAAAGUGAAGAAAACCUCCAAGAGAAAGAGGAUAGUGCAUGAUGCAGCAGUAGAGGAUGAGGAUGAGGAAGCACCCCAGCCUACUCCUCAGAAGCCGAAGCUCAUGGGUGAUGCCAUUAAGGCUGGAGCCACAUCAAAGCCCAAGAAAUCUGCUCCAGCUAAGGCAGCUCCAGCAAAGCCUGCUGCCAAGCCCAAGAAGACCGUCAGAAACAUUCCAGCGUCUGAAAAGAACAAGGAUGAUGUGCCACCAGCUGAGUCAGACGAUGAAGGACCAGUUUUGCAGAAACUUCGUCCAAAACUGCCACUACAUAAUGAUGCUCAUCCUCAAGCUGAGGAUAUGAAGGCAAGGAAAGAUAAAGGUCUCAGGCUAUGGAGACAAACUGACCCAUAUGCCGUGAGGAGAAGAACUGCUGUAGAUCCCAGAUUUCACACCAGAGAGCAGCAGGACUUCUAUGAGACCGUGCUGAUGGACAAGAAGCCCAUAGUCGCAGACACCCGAUAUGUUGACUGGAAGUACAUUGACAGCGAAGAGCACAGAGAUUUCUUUCCACAUGUGCAUGAAAGUUUCAUUGCAUGUGGAGUUGCAGACUUUGUAGGUCAGAAAUUGACCAGUUGGAACGAUGAGAUGAUAAUGCAAUUCUAUGCCACAGCUCAUUUCUACCCUGAUGGAAAGAUUAUAUGGAUGACUGAAGGUCAAAGAUUUUCUUCUUCUGUUGAAGAAUGGGCAGAAAUUCUGAAUGCUCCAGUGCAACGAGAAGAUGAUAUUGAUGUAUAUGGGAUUCCAAAGAAGAAUCAUGAAUCCAUGAAGAACAUGGACAAAGAGAUUCCAGCAAAGGAUUUGGGAAUCUGGAAGCUCGGCUCAGUCUACUAUCUCCAGGCAGGCUUACCUACCACUAAUACCAUUUUGAGGCAUACCUUGAUGCCCAAAUCUGGAGAUGAUCGCAUGAUCAGAGGAUACUCUAUCAACAUGCUGCACAUACUUGAUGAGAAAGCACCUUUUAAGGUGAUGGACUUGAUGGUAGAGACCAUUAAGAGGACUGCAGCUGACCAGAAAAGGUCAUGUGGAUUUGCCCCACAGAUUCAGAUGCUUAUCAAUGCCAAGUUUGUCACGGGCACAUUCUUGUUGGAUAGAGCACAUUUACCGUUGCAGCCAGAGCAUGAGGACAAUGUUGUUGUGAUGGAUGAGGAGGAUCCGACAUCUGUUGAAGGUCAAGCCAAGAUCGAAGCUGCUAAGAAAGCCAAAGCUGACAAGGAAGCAGCAGCAGCAGCAGCUAAACCAAAGAGUUUUGGAGAGCAAAUUCUUGAAGCUACUCAAAGGAUUGAACAACGCCUGGCCAGCAUUGAACAGUCUCAGGAGAGCUUAGAGAGGAUUGUUGAGGACAAGAUCCAUGCUCUGGACGUGAAGCUGACUGAAGUACAAGUGACCGUCAACAAGCUCGAGGCAGACAUUGAGGAAGCAAAGCGGGAGAAGGAAGAGCUUAUGCGUGAGUUGCAGGAUGACUUAGUCCAGGAUUCUCAGCGACAGACUUCUCCGGUUCCCAAAGGAUCCCGAUCAGCUGCUAUUCCAGUGACAGACACCAGGACUACAGCUUCAGUACCUCCCACAGUUCCAGCAGUUACUCCAACUCCAGCUCCAGUGACCACUCCUCCAGCACAGACAUCAGCUGAAGUCUUCGCCGAUGCUGUCAUAUCCACUCCGACAUCAACCCAGACGGGAGCCGCCAGCAGAGUCCACAGUGACGCUUAGCUCUAUGCUUUUUCGAACUUUUUGGUAACUUGUUGCCAAAGGGGGAGAAAUUGUAUAGAUCAUAGGACUUCGAGAGAGAGAGUGCUGUUGUCUUUGCGCUUUUGCUCUUUCGUUCUUUUGCGGUUUCUUUGAGAUACUUUUGGUUUUCGAGACAUUCAGUGUGUUUGAUACUACGUUUGAUUCUACCUUAAUGAGUACUUGGUCGUACUAUGCUUUAAUGUGUGCUUAAUGCUUAUCAUUUGCCAUUCCUAUCUUGUAUGACCAUUUACUCAUGUCUUGGUGAUUGGGUGCAUGCUGUUCAUUCUUAUCAUUAUGUGCGCUCCACCAAGAUGUAUGUGACAUGGAAGAGUGACCCAUGAUCCUAAUCGAUUGUGCAUUUGCAUUCAAACGCAAAUCUUAAAUAAUGCACAAAUUUAGGGCGAGCUCUUGCUUAUCACAUACUUCUCAAAGCGACGAUAUUAUUCAUUGAUUAUAUCCUUUGUCGAAGCUUUGAUCUAUAUGUUGUCAUCAAUUACCAAAAAGGGGGAGAUUGAAAGUGCAACUAAUCCCCGGGUGGUUUUGGUAAUUAAUAACAACAUAUAUAUCAUUGAACUAAUAGUUACUUGAGAAUCAUUUCAGAGAGUUCAGUGAUAUGGGUAUGGCAAGGACUGAAGAAGUGGACCCCUCAAAAUGCUAAGGCAAGCAUUGGCAAAAGCUCAAGACUCCAUUUUUAGUUUAGUGAUCCAAGAUCACAUUGAGUCCAUAGGAAAAGCCAAUACUAUUAAAAGGGGAUGAGGUUAUGAUGAUGAUUUGGUUGCUCAAGUGCUUAGUGAUACAUCUCCUAAACUAUCAGCAACUUUCACUGCCAUAUACACUCAUAAGUAGUCUCGGUCCCACCGAUAUUCCAAACUCAGUCACACCGAGAUGAACCACCUCAGCCAUAAGCCAAACCCUAGCAAACUCGGAUUUUCCGAUUCUGAACUCGGUCUCACUGAAAUUUGAGUUGCCAAGCUUCUGUAACCUUCUGUCAUCAAAUCGGUGUCACCGAGAUGAUGAAGUCGGUCCCAUCGAAAUUGGCAUGCUCUUGUCAUUGCACGAAUCGGACUAACCGAGAUUGUAUAUUCGGUCCCACCAAAAAUCCCAACGUUCACAUUAUUUGAACUAUCGGUCUCACCGAGUUGUCCACUUCGGUCUCACCGAGAUUGCUCAAAUGUGUGUAACGGUUGGAUUUUGUGUGGAGGCUAUUUAUACCCCUCCACCCCCUCUUCAUUCGUGGAGAGAGCCAUCAGAAAGAACUACCACUCCUACCUUACAUUUCUGAGAAGAGAACUACCUACCCUUGUGUUGAGAUCAAGUUGCUCCACUCCCACCAUAUGAAGCUUGAUCUCUAGCCUUCCCAAGUUGCUUUCCACUCAAUCCUUUCUUCCACCACAGUCAAAUCAGUGAGGAGAGUUGAGUGUUGGGGAGAUUAUCAUUUGAAGCACAAGAGCAAGGAGUUCAUCAUCAUCUACAACAUCUAUUACCUUUUGGAGGGUGGUGCCUCCUAGAUUGGUUAGGUGUCGCUUGGGAGCCUUCGUCAUCGAGAUGUGGAGUUGAACCAAGAAGUUUGUAAGGGCAAGGAGAUCGCCUACUUCGUGAAGAUCUACCCCGAGUAAGGCUAGCCCUCCGUGGGCGUAGGCCAUGAUGGAAUAGACAAGGUUGCUUCUUCGUGGACCCUUCGUGGGUGGAGCCCUCCGUGGACUCUCGCAGCCAUUACCCUCCGUGGGUUGAAGUCUCCAUCAACGUGGAAGUACGAUAGCACCACCUAUCGGAACCACGAGAAAAAUCACCGCGUCUCCAAAAUUGCGUUUGCUCUUCUCCACCUCUCUUUACUACAUGUGCAAUUUACUUUCCGCUGCCUAUACUCUAGAAUUGCAUGUGUAGGGUGAUGCUUGACUUGAUCAUAAUUGUGAAUCUGCCAAAAACUGUUCUUUGUCAAAAGGCAGAAUUUUUAUAUUGACAAGUAGUCUAAUCACCCCCCCUCUAGACAUACUUUCGAUCCUACACUA
rnacentral:lncRNA from 1 species